rnacentral:lncRNA from 1 species
CGAUGUUGGGAGACCCCAAGGGUCGAAUCUCCCGAUGAAUCUAAGAGGGAGGCGGACGGUGUCCGCGGUCGCUUCUCCUUCCUCGUUCGCUCCAACUGGGAAGGAGAGAGACGUCGAGAUCGGUGGGUGUCACGCUGUGGCCGCCUCUCCCCUUCUCGAUGGGAAUGCUGAGACGGCUGCUCCUGAGGAGGAGAUGGAAGUGGACGCGGGCGUC